GAGAGAGAGAGAGAGAGAAGUCACAACCCGCAACAUCUUGAUGUUUUCGCCGCUCGCCGUCGGCUUCCUACGUGCUCGUCGUCUCUGCAUUCCCCGAUCGAUUCCUUCGCUUUCUGUUCUUCCGCGUCCCUCCUCUUCUCCUUCUCGAUUGUAGGGCUUCGAUCGUUGGGAGCUCUGGAGGCGCGAAGAUGAAGAUCGAUUGCACAUUGGGCCCGUUCCUGAGGGAGGGGAAGACCUCGAGACCCUGGACGACUUGCGAACGUCCAUGGAGAACGCCGGCAUCCUCUUCGCUGUCAUGCUCGACAACAAGUUGACAGUACUGGUUGCUCCUGGUGCCUUUUACUGUUGCUCAGAAAUCUAAAGUGCAUGAGAUGGGAUUGAGGUAAAGAACUCAUCUUUUUUGCAUAAUCAGUGUCUGAUAUUGGGUUUCAUCUGGGAAUUUGGCCUUUUAGAUGUUUAUUUGAUGUCGAUGCUGAGUUUGUCAUUUCUUUCCUUUCUUUUUCUUUAUGCUAUUGAGGCUGAUGUUUAUGAUUUGGCAAUGUCAAAACUCUUAAUGAACCAUAGAGAAAACUCUGGAGGCACUUUGGAAAACUGACAUGGUUUUGAUAAAUUCAGCUUGAUGGUUUUACAGGGCAUUCAUGCAUUUUGAUGACUUGUAUGCAUCUAUUUAACUUAUGUGAUUCAUCUCUUAAAGGAGACUUUUCCCCUGUUUUUGCUGUAUAUGGUUUGGCAUGAGACAACAUUUGAUCAAACAUCGAUGUUAAGAUAUCAGAAUGUUCUUCUAAAAAUGACAUAAACUGCAAUGGAAGUAAUCGACUAUAUACUUGGUUUGCAUUUCUCUCUACGAAAAUUUGGCAUCCUAUCUUCCAGUUGACCUAAAAGACCUCGGACUUCAUUUGUUUUGGAUGUCAAGGAAGAGUAUCAUUUAUCUCAGUGGUCUGGUCUAUGGAUGUUAACAGAACUGAAUGACAUUUUGAAGUAGUCAAACGGUUCCAUAUUUCAUGUCAUGAGACUGACUAGCCUUGGUUGUUGAUGUCAUAGAUUAGGAGGUCUUAGAGAUCCGCAAUUCUAAACUUUGUACGAGGUAAACUAGCAUACAAUUAGUGGGAAUUGAUUGUUGAAUCAAGAUAUAUUUUUUAACACUGGACUUGAUGAACUUAGGUUUUACAUAAAUUCUGUUUGAAGUAUAGAACCAGCAGUAUCCCAACAAUAUGGGACUGACUACAUGAUGUUUUUUCUGUCCUUGAACUUAGGAUACUACCCCUAAGAAUUUGGUUAAGAGAGUGAUUUAAGGUGAAGUCAGGAUUUGAUUCUGAGUUGCCAUCAUUUCCAUGCAUUUCCAAGACUCAGAAUAACUAAAGAAAGAACAUAACUAGGCAGUAGCACUAACCAAAUAAAACAAAGAACUUGAUAUUCUAUAGUGUUCCUUAUAGUCUGGCAUCAUUUCGACGAAUGUAGUAUAUUUUUCUUAAGAAGCUUGAGCAAGAAACAGGGCAGUGGCUUGCCACUUGAGACCUUCUGCCUGACGCAUACACCAUAUGACGCUGGUUUCUCAUGAUUUUAAAUAAGGAGAGAAGAAACAGGACAGUGGCUUGCCACUUGCAAAGUGUGGUAUGGUAAGAGAUCAUGGACAAAGAGGAAGAAGAAGAAUUGGAAGAGCCAGUGCCUGAACAGGAGGAGUUCCAUGCAGUUUGACCAUUUGUUAGCCUUUGUUCCUGGAGGACAUGGUUGACAUUCCUUGCAUGUCUUCUUCUACUUUGUUCUUUUAUUGUUUCAUUGUUUCCAUUAAAAAUUACAGACCACUUCAUAUUGUAUAAAACACCUAUUUUUGAAGCACAAAUGUCAAAGUUCUUGGCUGCAGAAAUCAAAAGUACAGUUUCAUGAAAGUCGAAUUUAUGAAGAAAUGGUGAAAAUUAGUGGUGCAGUCUAUCAUUCUGGACAUCAACAACCAAGGCUAGUCAGUCUCUUGAAACUCUCCUCAUCAAAUUCUUUCUUCUUCUUCUUUAUUUGUAUCUUGUUCCAUUCUAUUGCAUCUUGGGGUGUAAAUUACAGGUGUUCUCAUUGUUGAGGAUGUAAUUUUCAUCAUCAAGGAAACUACUUACUGAAUGACAUUUUGAAGUAGUCAAAAGGUUCCAUAUUUCAUGUCAUGAUGUCCUAACAGCUUUGUGAACAUUAGAUUAAUCUUUAUCAUUCUGGUUAACUGUAUAUGGAAAAUUAUGCAGAAAAAAUAUCUUGGACUGUCUUUUUAGGCUCUGGGUAAAGGAUGAUGCCAAAUGGAAAGAAAGAACAGGGAUGUGAACCAUUAUUAUAUGGGUAAUUCCAAGAGAAAGGAAUGGAAGAAAUUUUGCUAGUGCAAAUGUGAAUUUUAUUGCUGUGGUUUCUAAUAAAGAUUUAUCUUCAUUCUUGAAAAGCUGCAGGAGAUUAGAGAAGAGAUCCAAGGUGCAGUCUUUUUCUCUCUCUGUGGAGCUGAAUCAGGUGAUGCUGAGAGGGUGUGGUUUAAAGUCCACUGCAAGAUGUGAUCAGUUGGAAACACAAUCUUCACGGAAGAGGAAAGAAGUAAAAUUGAUCAACCCCUUCAAGUCAGCAUGUAAUCAAAUCUUCAAUUUAGACAUGAUUUUUUUUUUAUUUUUUAAUAAAAUUUGAAAAAUAAUUAUUCAAUGUU